CUUCAACGAGCCCAGCAGUACGGGACGUUCGCGCUGCUGGCCGUAGGUGGCCAGUAGGGCCUCGGCCUC
rnacentral:sRNA from 1 species